CGUAAAUAAUGACAAUCACACAAAAUUGGAACGCCCGCCACGGACCGGUUGUUGACGAAUUAGCGUUUCCGUGAACGGAUCAAUGCCCGUUCAAUAAUGCCCAUUGAUUUUGAAUUCGAAAUUUUUGGAGAACGGAUGUACGUCCGAUCACUAGAGCCGUCUAGUGAAAGAAUAUAAAAUGGCAUCUUGUGGAAAAAUCGGACAUAGAUCCGAUUUUUCCCGCUAGAAGGUCCGAUUUAGACGACAGCGAGAUCGGAACAUAGUCCGUGAACAGUUGAAGUUUGUGUUGGACUAGCACUAAGAAUUUCCAGCGGUUUCACUAACUGUUUUGUUUGAAUAUAGCAGCGAAAUUGGAGGUCUCCGGAAAUUGAAUGUUGGUAUAAUUUAAUGGAGAGCAUCGCGUUACUUUUGGUUUGAUUACCAGGUUCCAUUUAAUUUUUUUUUCUAACUCCUUCUAACUGCCGACCGUUGUUGCAAAAAAAAAAAAUGGCGCCAGCCGAGGUGCUGAAAAUUUAGGUCGUUUGGCGUUCCGUAAUUGUAUGAAGGUUGACUUUCAAUUUUUCACUAGACACAGAUAGUAAUUUGAAUGGUGCAGUUCCAUCCGCAGCCUUCCAGUGUACAAAAAUAGACAAUGGAAAAAAUCUUAAAGUGUAAAAAGAUGUUAAAGCAGGAAAAACCUAAAGUUGGAGGACAAUUCAUUUGUUUUUCGUUACUAGUUUUCUUUUCUUCCAAAUCUUCAGCUUCCCAGGCAGACACACAUCUAUAAAGCCAUGGGUGAUAGAUGAUAUUCACAGGGGGCACGACUGUGUGGUAAAUUGGUUUCACUUUUACAAAGCCAAACAGCAAAUUAAGAUCAUGUGUCUACUGUGAAAGAGAUCAUGUCUCUCAAUGAAAAUUACUCUGUUUGCGACAUCAGACCUCCCCAGUGUGUCAUUCUGAAGCAGAGCUCUUGAAAUCAAGUUUAACGUUUUGUAACAUCUUAGUCCAAAGCUGAAGUUCUAGUUUAUUGUCUUGUUUUAGAAGUAUUAGAAAAGUCGUUGCUUUUUGGUUAGUUUCUUCGCCGUCCGAUGCAUCAAUUGGAAUGAUAUUCACUUCCUCGACAUCAUUGUUCACGUAAUUUAAUAACUUUGGGCUACGAAAAAAGUUGUACUAAUCUUCAAUUUUUAAAAGAAAACUUUGAUGCAUUAUUCUUAUCUCGAGGUUAUAUCGAUCCUCAAAGGUAAAUCGGAAGAGGGUUUUCUUUUCCUUGACAUAAGAACGGAAAUUUAAGCAUUAGCAAGUCAUCCGAAUCCAAACAGAUCAAAUGCACUAGGUAUUCCGCCUCGUCCAGCAACUUAGCAUCCAACAACAGAAUGUAUUAAAGAGGAAAGUAAUUGACCAAAUGCCGACUCUACGAUUUUCAUGUAAGAUGAAUGUUAUAAAUCCAAGGAGAUCUGGUGAGCAGGAUGCAACGAACUAUGUCAAACCAUUAGCUGAAUACAAUGAAUACCAUCAGUUCCCCAGAACGAAAGGUUAAUAAUCAUACUGAAUCAAAAGAGGCAUCAAGUUAAACGAGAUUUUAAAAUGAUAACGCCAGCAGUGCAGUGCUGAGCUUGUCUUUAUUUUGCCCGUAGCAGAAAAAGGUUUAAACAGUAGAGGAAGUAGAGGAAAUUGCCGUAAAACCGGUUUUGAAAAUGUCGAGCACGGAAUAAGCGAACGAUUUUACCUGACAAUUCGCGUGAAACGUUCUUUGAUUAUCUACUGUUAAGGACCUCAAUGUAUAAAAUACGUCGCGUUCGGGAAGUACCGCAGUGACUAGUGCGGGUUAAAAUUGGCCACAACUCGUAUAUAGCAGGCUAACUUAUCCCAUUUGAAAGGUUUCGGAAAAAAAAAGAUCUGUAGUGAAGUCCUGUCAAUAUUUUCCCGAAGCGCAUUCAAGAACGGGGUUUAACAUCUUGCAUAGUUAUAGGAAACAAUAAGAAAUAAUUAAUAUCACACUUAUAAGCAGCGAAACGAACAAUGGAAAGUUCUGAGAGAGCUGGAUCUUAGUCAAAACGUUCCCUUUCAUCGUGGAGUUAAAUCAUCUUUUGUUUUUUUCCCAAUUGGUGAUGUGUUUCUUGAAACUGAGGAAGAAGCACAUGAGGUAGCCGAUUUUGAGAAGUAAUCUGUAACUGUCCCGUGCAUCACUUGCGGCAUCGCUGUUACGGCCAGUAAUCCAAUCCGACAACUGGAGCCACGUACCAACAAAUACGAAAGCCAUGUCCCUCGGCUCAACCUUCCAACCCUAAAAAAAAGCCGACGAUGUUAUGUGACUUGGUAAUCCCAGUAGCCGAAGAUGCUGCAAGCUACUUCAUCUUGUAUCCGGAGUAUUGGCAAGAUCCUAAGAAGUUAGGUCAAUGACACUGAUGUAUGCUGAUAUCCUUAAGUACGGGAAGUCUUUGAAGAACCUGAAAAUCCAUCUUAUUCACUAACAGAAGUCUCAAUCGUAACUGGGAAAGAAAAAAUCAAAAUGGAAAAAGUACGGCAGUGGCUUAAAGUUGAUGAUUUAUUCUCAAAUGAAUGACAGAAUUCGACUGCCAUGACUCGGCAAGCUGGACUUUUACGAGUUAGACUUCAGUCAACUUCCAUCCAUGAAUCGAUGCAGCAGCAAUACUCCGGACACACUGCUGAAAGAGCACACACACGGCUGAAACCGGCGAGGUAAUUGCAGCCAAUAAAAACGCCUUUAAAAAAAAACAAUCACAUGUGUACAUAUACAAUUUCCUCGUUUUUUGCUGUUUUAUACAACUGCCAAUUGAUCCUCUGGUGUCACUUUUCCCAUGACUUUGAAGUUGAGGAAUUCCUUUUACAACUCGUGAUGGUUGUAAAUUAGGAUAACAGAUGGCGGAACUGCGCCUCUGUAUUUGUUUUGUGUGUGACAAGUGAAACCUAUGUAUGAAUAUUUGUGAACUAUGUUACAUUCCAUUGAUAAGUUUGAUCAAAUUAAAUGGUGUGAUUUCAGCUAUUGGGAGUUUUUCAUUCAUUCCUGUGUUUUUGGAGUGAGAAAAAUCAAGUGGAUAAUUUUGUGUGCAACGGGUAAACUUGUGAUCAGCUAUGCCAGCUGCCUGAUCCAAACUAUUACUUUUACAUUCCCAUCAUGCUAUUCUAUUGCACAUUGAGAGAAGUAGUUGAUGAAACCUAAAUAGCAAAAGAUACUAACCGUGAGGAAAGGUUUGAAAUGACACAAACCAUAUGAACUGGAAUACCAUCAUGAUAAUAACAUCAUUGUGCUACUCUACUCAUUUAUUAUGUCCUGUCAGUUUUGGUCUGAAAAAUGCACCGUAUUUUGUGUUGCAAACCUUUUACCACAACAAUUUCAAUAAUCUUCUCAUCAUUUCUACUUAGCCUAUCAAGUGGCAGGAUUUUGAGUUGCAAGCUCAUGUACGUAUCUAAAAUGAAAAGUAUGCUGGCCUUGAAGGGAGAUCUCCAACAAUCCAAAAUCAAUGGAUUUGAAUACCUCAGGUCAUUCUAUACUCUUUGCCCACUCAUCAUCUCAUCCAACACAUUCUUCGCCUUGCCCGUCGCCCAGUCUUGGCUUCGCCCAUCGCCCAGUCUUGGCUUCGCCCAUCGCCCAGUCUUGGCUUCGCCCAUCGCCCAGUCUUGGCUUCGCCCAUCGCCCAGUCUUGGCUUCGCCCAUCGCCCAGUCUUGGCUUCGCCCAUCGCCCAGUCUUGGCUUCGCCCAUCGCCCAGUCUUCGCUUCGCCCGUCGCCAUAUCUUCGCUUCGCCCGUCGUCUCGUCUUCGCCUCUUGGUCACCCCCUCUUCACUUCAUCGCCUCGUCUUUGUGGUAUCGUUGUAUUUUGUAAUGUGUAAUUGUAUAGUGUUAAUUAACCCGUUGGCUGCCACCCACUUUUAUCCUUUUUUUUUAAAAGCUUGUUAGGGUCCGGCAGCGCUGUUCUGCCCAAUGGUCUAUAUGCCAUGGGUGGGACAGUUGCACAAGCCGUGUGGCUCAAAGUCGAUCGUCGAGGCAAUCUACCAGUAGGGACUUUCCCUUUUUCGAUGCUUUGAUGGUUGUCUGGAGAGUACAUUCUCACAAAAGAUUCUGUUAUCGUGUCAGCCCGGAUUUGUCGUAGGACAAGUCUCCCUUGGUCGCUAUCCAUUAGAUAGCGAUUUAGCUAGAGUGUAGAUUUAUUGGUGUGGCAGCCAACGGGUUAGUUUUAUUUAAAAUGUAUGUUUUGUAUUAUGUUGUAUUGUAUUGUAUUGUAUUGUAUUGUAUUGUAUUGCAAAAUGGAAU